UGAGGAACUUGAAUUGCUCAGAACGUUGGUGAGGCAGCAUUCCACGUGCUUCUUCCUCUAAAGCUAUUGCAGAAGAAGAAGUUCGCCAAUUCUUAAUUGCUGCAACAAAUACCUUACCAAUCCUUAGAAAUGCACUUUUCUCUUCUACUUUGACACUAUAGCGAUAUGUCUUAGUUCCAAGUAAGAAGAGAAUAAGUGCAAUGACCAUCAUAAUACAUGGAAUUCCAAAUCCAAGAGCCCAAUUAAGGUUGUCUUGGAUGUAAUUUAAGACUAGUAGUGUUAGUAGGGUGCCACUACACAUGCAAAAGUACCACCAAUUGAAAAAUGAGCUUUUGGCCUUGCACUCCUUAGGGUCUUGUCCAUCAAACUGAUCCGCUCCAAAAGCCUGAACGCAAGGUUUGUGCCCACCUUGCGCAAGUGCUACCAAAUAUAGAGAAAAGAAG
rnacentral:misc_RNA from 1 species